rnacentral:rRNA from 1 species
CCUACGGGAGGCAGCAGUGAGGAAUAUUGGUCAAUGGGCGCGAGCCUGAACCAGUCAAGUAGCGUGAAGGAUGACUGCCCUACGGGUUGUAAACUUCUUUUAUAAAGGAAUAAAGUGAGGCCCGUGUGCCUUUUUGUAUGUAUUUUAUGAAUAAGGAUCGGCUAACUCCGUGCCAGCAGCCGCGGUAAUACGGAGGAUCCGAGCGUUAUCCGGAUUGAUUGGGUUUAAAGGUAGAGUAGAUGGGUUGUUAAGUCAGUUGUGAAAGUGUGCGGCUCAACCGUAAAAUUGCAAUUGAUACUGGCAGCCUUGAGUACAGUUGAGGUAGGCGGAAUUCGUGGUGUAGCGGUGAAAUGCUUAGAUAGCACGAAGAACGCCGAUUGCGAAGGCAGCCUACUAAACUGCCACUGACAUUGAUGCUCGAAAGUGUGGGUAUCAAACAGGAUUAGAUACCCCUGUAGUC